AGAGUAGAAUAACCGUACGUUAUUGAUACGCUGCGACCAAAGUGACUAUAACACUUUAUAGUCAAUUUGGCUGCGACAGAGUAAAGGGACAGGAUUCGAAUAUUUAACCCAGCGGACAGUACCUCUAAUCUGUGAAGGAGUGUGGAAGAUGCGUUUCCCCAAGCUACGAUACCAUAUUGAAGAUAUGAUUGAAAGAGAGAAAAAUAAACUAAUCGCAUAGCUGAUGGGAGUUCAUGUGUAUUUGCAAAUCAUUUGGCGAGACUGAACUUCCAAAUAACCCGGUAUCGUCAGCGAAGAGUUUGACCAAUAAUCUGGUGGCAUGAGGAAAAUCGUUGACGAAUAAUACGAACAUUGAUGGGCCAAUUAUUGUGCCCUGGGGAAUUCCGCAUUGUACGCAUGCAUCCGCAUUCAAAGUUGAUUUAUAAUCGUCACUUUGUACCCAUUAAAUUUUGUAACGUGGCGAUCCACAUAGUUUUAUGGUAUUAGUUUGAGAUAGGGACGGGCAAUAUAGAAUACCGAAUCCGGAGGAUUCGAAUCCCAAAGUAUUCGAAUCCAACGGGAUCCGAUAACAGGAUUCGGUUUCCGGCGCCAAGCGUCAAUU